AGUGAACGCUGGCGGUAGGCCUAACACAUGCAAGUCGAACGGCAGCACAGUAAGAGCUUGCUCUUACGGGUGGCGAGUGGCGGACGGGUGAGGAAUACAGCGGAAUCUACUUUUUCGUGGGGGAUAACGUAGGGAAACUUACGCUAAUACCGCAUACGACCUACGGGUGAAAGCAGGGGAUCUUCGGACCUUGCGCGAUUGAAUGAGCCGAUGUCGGAUUAGCUAGUUGGCGGGGUAAAGGCCCACCAAGGCGACGAUCCGUAGCUGGUCUGAGAGGAGGAUCAGCACAAUUGGAACGGAGACACGGUCCAGACUCCUCCGGGAGGCAGCAGUGGGGAAUAUUGGACAAUGGGCGCAAGCCUGAUCCAGCCAUACCGCGUGGGUGAAGAAGGCCUUCGGGUUGUAAAGCCCUUUUGUUGGGAAAGAAAAGCAGCAGGUUAAUACCCCGCUGUUCUGACGGUACCCAAAGAAUAAGCACCGGCUAACUUCGUG
rnacentral:rRNA from 1 species